AAAAAUAGAAGAAGUAUUACCUGAUUUUCCAUGUGACAAACAAAAAGUUAUAUUUGCUGGAAAUAUAUUAGUAAAUGAAAAUAAAGCAGUAGAUAUAUUAAAAGAUAACGAUGUUAUUAUUGUUAUGGUAGCACAAAAUAAAUAUGUAAAUAAAAUAAAAAAAGAUAACGCAAAAGAUAACGCAAAAGAUAACGCAAAAGAUAACGCAAAAGAAAACGCAAAAGAAAACACUACUGAAUAUUUAUUAUCAAAUCCUAUGGUAACAACAAAUGAUAAUAAAUUAACUAGUACCAGUAAUAAAAAUAACUUUUUAACAAAUGAAAAAGAGACAAAAGAAGAUGAUCAAAACAGUGACAAUAUAAAUGUGAAUAAUGCAGAGUCUACAUUAUUAACUGGUGACAAAUUAAAAGAGGUAAUAGAAAAUAUCUGUUCUAUGGGUUUUGAUUAUGCUUUAGUAAAAAAAGCAAUGGCAAUGGCAUACCGUAAUCCUAAUAGAGCAAUUGAAUACUUAACAAAUGGGCUAGUAUUAGGAAAAGGAGAAAGCAUUGAAUCCACUGAACUUAAUGAAAUUCACGAAACAAACGAAGAAAACAACACACACGACACGAACGACACAAACGAUACAAACGACACACAGGAAACACAGGAAACACAUGACACGAGUGAAAUAUUGGAUAAUAUAUAUGAAAGAGAAGCUAACGAAAAUACUUCUGAAUUAUCCAACUUUUUAACAAAUCAUUAUUCAACAAAUGCAAAUAAUACACAAAACUUAACAGAAAAUAUAAAUUAUAAUAAUAGUGAUAAUAGUAGUCAUAUUGAAGCUAUUAGAAAUUCUCCAUUUUUUAACAUUUUAAGAAAUGUUGUCUUAUCAAACCCACAAAGGAUACCAGAUAUUCUUGAUUUAAUUGGUACAACUGAUCCUUCUUUUUUAUCAUAUAUAAGAGAAAACCAAAAUGCAUUUUUAAGUGCUCUACAAAAUUAUACAAAUGAAAAUACACCCAGCUCAGAACAAAACAUAAUGGAUUCUACAAAUUUAUCAUUAGAACAACAAAGUAACCAUAAUUUAACUGACAUGAAUAAUGAAAAUUAUAGCAUACCUGUCACAACAUUAAAUGAAAAAGAAUUAGAGAGUGUACAC
rnacentral:lncRNA from 1 species